AGUGGAAUGAGUUUUUAUUAAAAAUAAUAUAGUUUUUUUCACCAAUGUAUAAAUUUUUGACCUUAAAAUUAAUUUUUGGUCUUAAAAAAUGGGUUGGAUAUGGGUCAGACCCGACCCACCAACCUGCUCCAACUAACUGGCUACCGGUUAGCUUGGUAUCAGUAUGUAUGAGGGUAGAGGCUAUCUGUGGGCUGACCCCAUUGAUUAUCCAUGAGAACCAGUCCAUUGACCAUCUCUCAAUCUUCAUAUUCUUCUCCUUUUUCAUCAAUUGGCAUCUUGAUUUUCCAUUGAUGAAAGCUAUCUUUUUUUCUUGAGACCAGUGAUAGCUUCGUGGAAUUAGCCCAUAGAACGUAAUUAGCCUCUCCUGUUAAUUUGUAAGCCACCAUUUGAGCCCCUGGAUGAUCAUCAGCAGUUAAGAAGAAAGGUGAUUUUCUAGAAUAUUUAGUGCUGUUGGAUUCUUUUCUUUUUUUUGUUUACUGAUCUCCUUUCUUUUCUUCUUGAUGAUCGGAAGUAAUUUUCUUCUUCAGAACUUGGAGUUGGCAAUGAUUCUUUUGAGAAUUGCUCUGCAUUUCUAGAGCUAUCAGAAUUCAAUUUUGCGGAAGUGGUGUCCAGGUUGACACUGAUACCAUGUUAAAUGAUGUAGCCGUCCGGAUCCUCUCUUAGCUAUACGCAUAAGGAAUCACCGGCAAAUUGGUCCGGCAGAAGCAGUAUAAGAAAAAGGGGACGAGAGUUAGAGCUACAAUGCUUAACUGUCAAGGAUGACAGUUUGUACGAGUGUGAUUAAUGUGAAAUCAAUUGAUCAGAAAUGUUAAUUACAAUCAGUAUGUAAUACAUCAUUUGCUAAUUAACACAAAUAGAUCAUAU
rnacentral:lncRNA from 1 species